ACCCCGGCCUGCCACACCCCCAUCCUGUGCCUAUAAACUGCCCUCAGACCUUAGCAGGCAGGCACACAAGCUGCUGGACCUGCAGAGGAGCCUAUCUGCAAACCCAGACAUCUGGACGUGGAGAGGAGCGAAUUGGUGGAGGAACACACAGGUGGCUGGAUGUUAAGAGAAGCACAUCAGCAGGCCCUGGGAUGCGGGCAGGCCACGGACCAGCAGAAGGAGAGGCUGAGUUUGGCUGGGACAGUCAGAGGAGAGCCCGGGCCAGGGAGCAGCCUGACUCCAAGGAAAAAACCAUCUCCCUUCUGGCUCCCCCGUAUGCUGAGAGCUACUUCCAGUCAAUAAAACUUUGAACUCAUUCUCCAAGACCACGUGUGAUCCGAUUCUUCCAGUACACCAAGGAAUGCAAGAGGAAAGCAUCCUAAGGAGGAGGAUUUGGCGGGACCUAACAAGACCACAGUGCAUUGACCCUUUGGCCCAGCAAUGUCACUUCUAGGACUUCAUCUUGAAAAUCCACCUCCAGAAAUGCAAAGCAUCAUAGGCAGAAGAUCAUUCACUGUGGCUUCAUACGUAAUAGCACAAUAUUACAAAAAAUAAAAAUGCUGAUUUGUAGAAGAUUGGUUAAAUAAAUUAUGAUAUAUCAGCGCUGUUUUUUUACAAAAGGAAUGAGGAAUAUCUGUAUUCAUUGAUAUGUAGUGACUUUGAGGAUAUACUAUUUAAAUUAAAAACUAAGCACUACACACAUACAUUCAUAUAUAUAUAUGUAUACAUCUGCAGAUUUUGUACAAAUAAAGGG
rnacentral:lncRNA from 10 species